AGCAGCCGCGGUAAUUCCAGCUCCAAUAGCGUAUAUUAAAGUUGCUGCAGUUAAAAAGCUCGUAGUUGAAUUUCGGGACCAUCAUGUCGGUCGUGCCUCGGUACGUACUGGUAUUGUUGGUUUCUCCCUUCUGACGAACCAUGAUGUCAUUUAUUUGGUGUUGUGGGGAAUCAGGACUGUUACUUUGAAAAAAUUAGAGUGUUUAAAGCAGGCUCACGCUUGAAUACAUUAGCAUGGAAUAAUGAAAUAGGACGUUUGAUUCUAUUUUGUUGGUUUCUAGGAUCGACGUAAUGAUUAAUAGGGAUAGUUGGGGGCAUUAGUAUUCAAUUGUCAGAGGUGAAAUUCUUGGAUUUAUUGAAGACUAACUACUGCGAAAGCAUUUGCCAAGGAUGUUUUCAUUAAUCAAGAACGAAAGUUAGGGGGUCGAAGACGAUCAGAUACCGUCGUAGU
rnacentral:rRNA from 1 species